UAAAUAUUUAAUGGGGCAUCUACGACCCCUCGAGAUACCUGAAACGUGUUUUUCGCCAACAUUUUUAUACGUUUAAAGGAAGAAGGCAGGUUCUAGCGUUUGUGCGUACCUGUUCCGAACCGAUUGCGCCCUACUCGGAACCCAGCCUUUAUUAUACUCUCUGUCUCCGAUCGAGUGUGACAAAUUAUUCCUGCGUCACGUCCGCCUGCGAUUUGCAAAAACGUUCACGAGUCGACGGACGGGAUUCGUCACUUCUACCACGCUUGAUUCGAUGUUUCAAUCGAUACUAUAUUAACGAUUUAUUUUCAAGCAUUUACAAGAACGUUUUCUACAACCUGAAAGUAUCCCAGGCCUCCUUUGCAAUAAAUUCACAUAAUAACUCGGUGGGUUAUCAGAAAAUCAACUCCUCGCGCUGUCCCUCUUCUCCAUUGAGUUUCUACCCAUCAAAAUCAACGAAACUAGCUACAUUCUGACCUACCACCAGCAAAAUACUCCAAUAACCCAGCUCAUUUCUUCAAGAAUCGACCUCUCUGGGCUUCCUCUCUCUCCCCUAUCGAAUCUACCCCCUGCGGAGACGUCACCCCAAGGAGCAUUCAGCUGGACAAAGGCUCGAUAAGGACCCAGUGACCUCUCGUCGCCUUUCUCGCCGAAUUGGUCCGCGAAAUCUGUUAUCUGAGAUCGGCCAGAGUCCAGAUCGAGGAUAAAGAUACGCUCGUGGAGGGGGGGAGCAGGGGGGCAGGUCAAAAAUUCUCACGGUCACGCGGCGCGGAAGCAUCGCGAAAAACAUAAAAAUAGAUGCAGCGUGUAGGCGAGGAUAGGAGAGAAGAAAAAAAAAAAAAAGAGUAUCAUCCUUGCGUGUCGGACGGUGGGGCUGAGGUCGCGAGGAGUCGAGGAGCACAGCGCGGUCGAAGGAACGGAGCCCAGGCGCACACGGUGCCGUCGGUGUAUAAGUCAGCACUCAGGAUAUUUCGUCAUUUCCUGCUUCUCACGCGAUACAAUCUAAAUUAACUAUGUUCGCUUGGCUAGGCCUCCUCCCUCGCAGAGGCUCGCAUCUCUCAAGAAAAUUUCUUAUUUCCUAGCGUGGAGGGCACACGGCCGCCAUCAGACAGGGGCCCCUCCACCAGGCGCCCAUCGCUGACAGACGCAGAAACUGGCGCGCCAGUUCUCCAGAAACGACACGUUCGAACACCGAUAGAGGAUAGGCUGAACGAAAAUGCAAGAAAUCGAAUAGAAUGGCUACAAAUAGAAGAAGAGAAGUACUCGGCAAUGUCACGAACUAACGUACGAUAUACACACUACUGUACUCCUAAAUGAAAAGAAGGCAUCGUAAGAGCGAAAAAGUAUCGCGAACGUCGCUCGAUCGAUCGACGAAGGCAGUAAGUACGAUGACACGAUGCUGAAAACAACUGGAGGAGAAUAAUGAGUGCCGAGAGCGAUGAAAGUCGCGAUAACGAGAGAUCGUCGAUGACGUGGACAAAAGGGGAACAACGACGGGGACGACGUAGGAGCAGGAGGAUCGAUCAAAAUGGCGACGAGAAGUCGAAGAGGGCGAAGACCCUGGGACGGCUUUCACGAGGAGGCACGCGGGUAAUUCCCUUGGAAAAUUUAACUUCGACGUUCCAGCGACCGGAAGAGGCUCGCUAAGGCGCUCCGCGUGUAGGUGAAAAAGGAAUUCUCGGUAAAAACCUCGUCGCCUCGAAACUUUACUCGGUCUGUUCGCCACAUCGGGCGUGACGUUUGUGAAACCUCGCGGAUUCUAAUUCGUCGCGUUUCUCUUCGGGGAGAGGUUGCGUUACGGUUUGAAGGGAAAUGGAGCGAGGAAAACUGCGUGGAAACGUGGACUGCGGGAAAGGAUAAGGGUGAACGUAAGAUAGUGAAUAAUACAGGGAAAUGCAACAUAUUACUGAAUACAAAAAUAAAGACAGAAGAGAGCAAUUGAACUACAGUUUAUAAAGGGUAUCUUAAAGUGAAGCAUUAAUUAUAAAUAUUGUUUGCUACUUCACCGUCGUGAAAAUCAUUUUCAAGCAUACCAUAACUAAAUGACACUACUAGGAGUGUCGUUAUACUUGCUGAUUGGAGUCAAGGGAGCUUUGCAUUCCACGAAACGCGGAGUGACGCAACGAAAGUUAACGAAGGAGGUUGUAUUUCAAAAGUGGACCACGGAUGUUUCAUCGAGUCACGAUACCGUCUGGGCGGCACUGAUUGUGGAUCAUUUGGCGAAGUCAUUUAGCGACGCCAAGUGCAUUGCGUCAUCGAUCGAACCGAUCCGUGAGAUACACAUCGUUGGCCAUGCUUUGUAGCACGUCACGCUUGUAAUUCCACUCUUAUUCCGUUAACGUAAUCCCUACGUGCGAACGAAAUGGCAAAUUUACUUCAGUUAAAUUAAUGUUAAUUGCGUACGUGUUCAAUCGGGUAACAAGGAGUUUAAAUAGCAUGAAAUUGAUCGUUAAACCGGUAAAAUAUUGGGGAGGAAAGCCCGACGAUGCUCUUGUUUACAAGAUUGCUACCUCCAUAAAUUAUUCCGUUGUACAGGGUGUUCUAUAUAUGUGGGUGUGAAGUCAGAGGUGCAUUGAGUCGAGAUAAAAUUUAAUUUAUAUCCUAAAGUUCCAAAGCAGCUUUUGGAAAACCAUUUGUAAAUAAUAUACCAGAGUCGCGUUAACAAUCUUGUAAGUAUCGACUUUCUAUAAUCUACACUUAAAGAGAUGGCCAGAUUUUACAAGACACCUUGUACGUAUCCAAUCUUUAAUAGAAACAGAAAUAAAAACAUGAAUCCUCGAGGUACCUCCACGAAACAAGAAUCACAUUAUACAUUCUGCUUCAGGCUUAAUUAAAGAGUCUUAAUAACCCAUACCAGUUGUACAAUCACUUUACGACUUACUAAAUUCUGACGAGAUUAGAAUUUAAUUAUAGUUUCAGGAUGGAUUCCACGAUGAAUGCUCCAGGCUUAAUUAUUUCCCGAUUACAGAGCCUGACUAUACGAUAAUUUAUUUGGAAUAUACGCUAGAAAAUUCCAAGCGGUGUCAAAAGAAGGAGAAGAGUUAUCGUCGUUGAGCCCCCAGAAAUUUGGCGGACGUCUGGCCAGUGAUGGACCGUAUCACUGACUCCGAGCGAUGCUGGAAACCAUCCACCGAUCAUUCGUCGAAACCAGUUUUAUUCACGCGAUGGAUAACAAAUUAUAUAGAUUUAAUUAUACAGAU